rnacentral:rRNA from 1 species
UCGAGAAUUUUUCACAAUGGGCGAAAGCCUGAUGGAGCGACGCCGCGUGGGGGAUGAAUGGCUUCGGCCCGUAAACCCCUGUCAUUCGCGAACAAUGCCUGCGGCAUAACACGUUGCAGGUUGAUAGUAGCGGAAGAGGAAGGGACGGCUAACUCUGUGCCAGCAGCCGCGGUAAUACAGAGGUCCCAAGCGUUGUUCGGAUUCACUGGGCGUAAAGGGUGCGUAGGUGGUCGGGUAAGUCUGAUGUGAAAUCUCGGAGCUUAACUCCGAAACUGCAUUGGAUACUAUCCGGCUGGAGGGUUGGAGGGGGGACUGGAAUUCUCGGUGUAGCAGUGAAAUGCGUAGAUAUCGAGAGGAACACCAGUGGCGAAGGCGAGUCCCUGGACAACUCCUGACACUAAGGCACGAAAGCUAGGGGAGCAAACAGGAUUAGAUACCCCUGUAGUCC